AGAGAUCUAUGAUGUGCGCGGUAUUUACUAAGUGUUGACCGAACAAUUUACGACUUUUUAGGGAUUCAGAUUGAUGUUACUGAUAACAAGCCUUUUCACUUGGUAGUUAGGAAGUAAUACAUAGAAGCCCACCUGCUUUAGAUGCGGGUUCAAACUAACAAAUACAUCAAACGGCAUCGUUGGAAAUCUA
rfam:Granulicatella adiacens ATCC 49175 genomic scaffold SCAFFOLD1, whole genome shotgun sequence.